rnacentral:rRNA from 1 species
GACGAACGCUGGCGGCGUGCUUAACACAUGCAAGUCGAACGGAAAGGCCCUGCUUUUGUGGGGUGCUCGAGUGGCGAACGGGUGAGUAACACGUGAGUAACCUGCCCUUGACUUUGGGAUAACUUCAGGAAACUGGGGCUAAUACCGGAUAGGAGCUCCUGCUGCAUGGUGGGGGUUGGAAAGUUUCGGCGGUUGGGGAUGGACUCGCGGCUUAUCAGCUUGUUGGUGGGGUAGUGGCUUACCAAGGCUUUGACGGGUAGCCGGCCUGAGAGGGUUGCCGGCCACAAUGGGACUGAGGUAGGGACCAGACGCGAACGGGAGGCAACGGGGGGAAAUAUUGCGGAGUAGGGGGACGCCUGAUACGACGGCGCCGGGAGCGGAAAAACGGCCUUCGGGUUAUAAACCACUUUGGACUGUGACGAGGCGUGCGUGACGGUAAUGGGUAAAAAAGCACCGGCUAACUACGUG